rnacentral:rRNA from 1 species
UACGGAGGGUGCAAGCGUUUUUUAUCCGGAUUCACUGGGUUUAAAGGGUGCGUAGGUGGGCAGGUAAGUCAGUGGUGAAAUCUUUCGAGCUUAACUCGGAAACUGCCGUUGAUACUAUCUGUCUUGAAUAUUGUGGGAGGUGAGCGGAAUAUGUCAUGUAGCGGUGAAAUGCUUAGAUAUGACAUAGAACACCCAUUGCGAAGGCAGCUCACUACGCAAAAAAUUUGACACUGAGGCACGAAAGCGUGGGGGAUCAAACAGG